AUGUUGUCCAGGCUGGUCUGGAACUCCUGGCCUCAAGUGAUCCUCCUGCCUCAGCCUCCCAAAGUGCUGGGAUUACAGGGCUGCCAGAAGACCUGCUGUUUUUUCUCGGACCACUUCAGAAAGGCUGUGAAAACCUGGAUGGGAAGGAUGACAAGGAAGAGAAACAAGUCCUUUGCCCUCAAACUUCUCCUGUGGCCUGGCAUGGAAAGUGGACUUUUCUUUCCAGAGAAGAUAGUGUGACCUUACUGAAAAAAAGAAGCCAAUCUAAACAGUUGUGAUGGUUCUGUACUCCUCUGAUGCUCCAGCCUGUUUCUCAGCUGGGAAACAUGAUUUAGAAAAAAUCCAUGUUGCCCCCUUUCUCUUGCACUUGUUGUGUGAACAUGCAGAAGGUCUCAUAUUAUCCCUUGUUUUUCAAGCAAUAAAUAUAUUGAGAAUGAAGAGGACA
rnacentral:lncRNA from 13 species